AUUGAACGCUGGCGGCAGGCCUAACACAUGCAAGUCGAGCGAGCGGCGGACGGGUGAGUAAUGUCUGGGAAACUGCCUGAUGGAGGGGGAUAACUACUGGAAACGGUAGCUAAUACCGCAUACCAUCAGAUGUGCCCAGAUGGGAUUAGCUAGUAGGUGGGGUAAUGGCUCACCUAGGCGACGAUCCCUAGCUGGUCUGAGAGGAUGACCAGCCACACUGGAACUGAGACACUGGCCCGACUCCGACGGGAGUCAGCAGUGGGGAAUAUGUGACAAUGGGCGCAAGCCUGAUGCAGCCAUGCCGCGUGUGUGAAGAAGGCCUUCGGGUUGGAAAGCACUUUCAGCGGGGAGGCGUUACCCGCAGAAGGAGCACCGGCUAACUCCGUGUCAGCAGCCGCGGUAAUAC
rnacentral:rRNA from 1 species